rnacentral:rRNA from 1 species
CAGCCGCCGCGGUAAUACGUAGGGGGCGAGCGUUGUCCGAAGUUACUGGGCGUAAAGCGCGCGUAGGCGGCUUCUUAAGUCUGAGGUGAAAGGUUCAACGCUUAACGUGAACAGUGCCUUGGAUACUGGGGAGCUUGAGUAUGGGAGAGGGCAGUGGAAUGGCUGGUGUAGCGGUGAAAUGCGUAGAUAUCAGUCGGAACACCCAUGGCGAAGGCAGCUGCCUGGCCUAAUACUGACGCUGAGGUGCGAAAGCGUGGGGAGCGAACGGGAUUAGAUACCCGCGUAGUCCCUGUCUCUUAUA